GCCAGACUCCUACGGGAGGCAGCAGUGGGGAAUAUUGCACAAUGGGGGAAACCCUGAUGCAGCGACGCCGCGUGAAGGAAGAAGUAUUUCGGUAUGUAAACUUCUAUCAGCAGGGAAGCAAAUGACGGUACCUGACUAAGAAGCCCCGGCUAACUACGUGCCAGCAGCCGCGGUAAUACGUAGGUGGCAAGCGUUAUCCGGAUUUACUGGGUGUAAAGGGAGCGUAGGCGGUAAUGCAAGUCAGAAGUGAAAGACCAAGGCUCAACCAUGGGACUGCUUUUGAAACUGUCAAACUAGAGUACGGGAGAGGUAAGAGGAAUUCCUAGUGUAGCGGUGAAAUGCGUAGAUAUUAGGAGGAACACCAGUGGCGAAGGCGGCUUACUGGACUGUAACUGACGUUGAGGCUCGAAAGCGUGGGGAGCAAACAGGAUGAGAUACCCGUGUAUA
rnacentral:rRNA from 1 species